rnacentral:tRNA from 1 species
UGUCUCGUAGCUCAGCUGGUAGAGCAUGCGCUGUACGAAAGCGUAGGCGGCCUCCAUGCGUGGGUUCGAAUCCCAGCGAGGCUA